rnacentral:rRNA from 1 species
AUUGAACGCUGGCGGCAUGCUUUACACAUGCAAGUCGAACGGAAGCGCGGGCUUCUGCCUGGCCGCGAGUUGCGAACGGGUGAGUAAUUCAUCGGAACGUGCCCAGUCUUGGGGGAUAGCCCGGCUAAAGCCGGAUUAAUACCGCAUACGACCUGAGGGUGAAAGCGGGGGACCGAAAGUCCUCGCGCUUUUGGAGCGGCCGAUGUCGGAUUAGCUAGUUGGUGGGGUAAAGGCUUACCAAGGCGACGAUCCGUAGCUGGUCUGAGAGGACGACCAGCCACACUGGGACUGAGACACGGCCCAGACUCCUACGGGAGGCAGCAGUGGGGAAUUUUGGACAAUGGGGGCAACCCUGAUCCAGCCAUGCCGCGUGCGGGAAGAAGGCCUUUGGGUUGUAAACCGCUUUUGUUCGGGAAGAAAUCCUCUGGGCUAAUACCCCGGGGGGAUGACGGUACCGGAAGAAUAAGCACCGGCUAACUACGUG